GCAUUUUGGACUUGACAUCUGCCAACAUUUGUAUUGCCAAGAAUUGACUAGAAAAAAAAGCCUCAUUCCGCUGUUGGCAACAUUGCGCUUCCGGAAGACGGCGCAGAAAAAUUGAGAAGUGAAAGUGCGCCAUUGGUGAGAAACACCGCCCCCCGGAAAAAAUCAUCUUUUCUCGGCCAGAGCCACAGUGGCAUCUCGCCGACAGCCAUCCAAGGAACCGGGAGAUCCCAGAAUCGGGUAGGGCUAAGGACGACCGGGAACGCACAGCGGCUCAAAACGAGGAAAAAAGGCGUUUUUUAUUCUAGUCGCCAAGCCACCAAUCCAGCGCCACACAAUCCGGUCGCUCUCAGCCCGGAAAGCGUACGAAGCGCAAGGAACCGUGCCGGUACAUACGGAACAAAGAGCCGACAGUUUCGACCGGCGUGUUUGCCUAUCAGCCCCGUCCAAAUCCGAGGCCCAGAAACAGGCGAAGGAAGAAGAGCCAUUAAAAGGGGUCAGGU